UACGAAGGGGGCUAGCGUUGCUCGGAAUUACUGGGCGUAAAGCGCACGUAGGCGGCUUUGUAAGUUAGAGGUGAAAGCCUGGAGCUCAACUCCAGAAUUGCCUUUAAGACUGCAUCGCUUGAAUCCAGGAGAGGUGAGUGGAAUUCCGAGUGUAGAGGUGAAAUUCGUAGAUAUUCGCAAGAACACCAGUGGCGAAGGCGGACUUACUGGUCCGGAUCUGACGCUGAGGCGCGAAAGCGUGGGGAGCAAACAGG
rnacentral:rRNA from 1 species